rnacentral:rRNA from 1 species
UACGUAGGAGGCAAGCGUUGUCCGGAAUUACUGGGCGUAAAGCGCGUGUAGGUGGUGGGACAAGUCUGCUGUGAAAGCGCCUGGCUUAACCGGGCGAGGUCGGCGGAAACUGUCCGACUCGAGGACGGUAGAGGGGGUGGAAUUCCCGGUGUAGUGGUGAAAUGCGUAGAGAUCGGGAGGAACACCUGUGGCGAAGGCGGCCCCUGGGCCGCACCUGACGCUGAGACGCGAAAGCGCGGGGAGCGAACGGG